GGCGGCGUGGUGAAAUUGGUAGACACGACGGAUUCAAAAUCCGUUACUAGAAAUAGUGUGGCGGUUCGAGUCCGCCCGCCGCUACCA
rnacentral:tRNA from 1 species